rnacentral:rRNA from 1 species
GGACUACCAGGGUAUCUAAUCCUGUUCGCUCCCCACGCUUUCGCUCCUCAGCGUCAGUUCCGGCCCAGAGUGCCGCCUUCGCCACUGGUGUUCCUCCCGAUAUCUGCGCAUUUCACCGCUACACCGGGAAUUCCGCACUCCCCUACCGGACUCGAGUCACGACAGUAUCGAGUGGCCCCUCCACGUUGAGCGUGGAGAUUUCACACCCGACUAAUCGAACCGCCUACGAGCUCUUUACGCCCAAUGAUUCCGGACAACGCUAGACCCCUACGUAUUACCGCGGCUGCUGGCAC